rnacentral:rRNA from 1 species
AGUGGCGAACGGGUGAGUAAUGCCUAGGAAUCUGCCAUUUAGUGGGGGAUAACGUUCCGAAAGGAACGCUAAUACCGCAUACGUCCUACGGGAGAAAGAGGGGGAUCUUCGGACCUCUUGCUAAAUGAUGAGCCUAGGUCAGAUUAGCUAGUUGGUGAGGUAAAGGCUCACCAAGGCGACGAUCUGUAGCGGGUCUGAGAGGAUGAUCCGCCACACUGGAACUGAGACACGGUCCAGACUCCUACGGGAGGCAGCAGUGGGGAAUAUUGGACAAUGGGCGCAAGCCUGAUCCAGCCAUGCCGCGUGUGUGAAGAAGGCCUUUUGGUUGUAAAGCACUUUAAGCGAGGAGGAGGGUACCCUAGCUAAUAUCUAGGUGUACCGGACGUUACUCGCAGAAUAAGCACCGGCUAACUCUGUGCCAGCAGCCGCGGUAAUACAGAGGGUGCGAGCGUUAAUCGGAAUUACUGGGUGUAAAGCGCGCGUAGGCGGUUUGUUAAGUCGGAUGUGAAAUCCCCGGGCUCAACCUGGGAACUGCAUUCGAUACUGGCAAGCUAGAGUAUGGGAGAGGAUGGUAGAAUUCCAGGUGUAGCGGUGAAAUGCGUAGAGAUCUGGAGGAAUACCGAUGGCGAAGGCAGCCAUCUGGCCUAAUACUGACGCUGAGGUGCGAAAGCAUGGGGAGCAAACAGGAUUAGAUACCCUGGUAGUCCACGCCGUAAACGAUG